rnacentral:lncRNA from 10 species
AAUACAAUACUUUUUUGUUGGAUGCAAGAGGAGGGGUGAUUUCACAUAAUUUCCCUUUGCAUUUGCAGAUUUGAAAAUAUGAAAAGUCUUUAAAAUAACUGCCAUGUAUUCUUCUGUGAAAAACUACAUUUUUUUUGGAGUGAGAAUAUGGAGUACCACUGGAAGUAAGAUCAAAGUUUGCUCAUCUCUGCCCUGUUCUGAUGUUUUGUAGACUGACCUCUAUGGAUAUUGAAGCUCAGGUGAAAGGAGGAUUGAGUUCCCCAUUCUCUGUAACUCCAAGGUUAAAAAAAUGUGUGCUGUUUUUAUUUUGAACAGCAAGAAUGUUUGGAAAUAACUGAGCAGCAGGAAGAUAAAACAAUUGAAGAGGAAGAGGGUACAUAUUGCAGCAAGGUAAAUAACUAAAGAUGGCCAAAUGAAUUAUGGCACCCC